rnacentral:lncRNA from 1 species
CAGCGGGUAAUCAUAAGCCGAUCUUGUGUUUAGGCAAAUACGAAACAUCUACAACUUGAAACUAAACAGGGAAGUAAUGGCUCUGUGGCCACCUAUGAUGCAGCAUGGAAGUUCUACUGGCACGUGUCUUCUUUCUGGAUGUAGUACCCCCUCUAACACAGCCGCCACAUGGUAGAGUAGUUGCUAAGAAGCCACAGGAAGGUACAACAUCUAAGAUGCCACGGGUGUCCAUUGAAAUUAAGCCAUCCUUUUACUUUUACCCCUAGGCUUUUGGACUUGGACCUCAUCCAAGGAGCUGGCUGCCUGCACUUUCACAGACCGUCAGCUUCAUCCCCAGGCCCCAAAUCCUGAAUUUGCCGUGUCAAUGAAAAACCAUCAUCAGCUUUUCUUUACAUUAAAAACUGAUUGUGAUCAUAGCAGUUUUUCCUGUUUUCUGGGAUCACUGCUGCGAAGAGGAAAAGUCACCAGAGGAUAAAAUGACACACACGCAAACUCUUCUGUGGCUGAAAUUCCCCUCACUCUUCCUGCCUCUAACCGAAAAGGAGGAUACAGACCAAGGAGCACUUCAUGAAGGUCAGACAUAGCAGCACCAAGAGACAAAAC